GGAAGGGCGCGUGCUAUACAUGCAAGUCGAGCGGACAGAUGGGAGCUUGCUCCCUGAUGUUAGCGGCGGACGGGUGAGUAACACGUGGGUAACCUGCCUGUAAGACUGGGAUAACUCCGGGAAACCGGGGCUAAUACCGGAUGGUUGUUUGAACCGCAUGGUUCAAACAUUAAAAGGGGGCUUCGGCUACCACUUACAGAUGGACCCGCGGCGCAUUAGCUAGUUGGUGAGGUAACGGCUCACCAAGGCGACGAUGCGUAGCCGACCUGAGAGGGUGAUCGGCCACACUGGGACUGAGACACGGCCCAGACUCCUACGGGAGGCAGCAGUAGGGAAUCUUCCGCAAUGGACGAAAGUCUGACGGAGCAACGCCGCGUGAGUGAUGAAGGUUUUCGGAUCGUAAAGCUCUGUUGUUAGGGAAGAACAAGUACCGUUCGAAUAGGGCGGUACCUUGACGGUACCUAACCAGAAAGCCACGGCUAACUACGUGCCACGCC
rnacentral:rRNA from 1 species